rnacentral:lncRNA from 1 species
CAGGACUGGAUGGGAAAUAAAAAUUAGCCAGUAAGAUUAAAAAAACUAAAAUUUUACCAAUGAGAAAAGUACCUCUGAAAGAAACCAUUUCAUAAAAUUACAGUUCUAAGUUUUUAUUUAAUCUCCAGAAUGGUUUAUAGUCAAAUUUAUGAAAGCAUCAUCACACCCAAAAUGAUCUUGUUUUAUAGCAUUACAGCAUAUAAAUAUACGCCAACUGAAAAGACAGAGCCUGGGAAUAAUAAAAC